AACGAACGCUGGCGGCAUGCCUAACACAUGCAAGUCGAACGAGACCUUCGGGUCUAGUGGCGCACGGGUGCGUAACGCGUGGGAAUCUGCCCCUCGGUUCGGAAUAACACAGAGAAAUUUGUGCUAAUACCGGAUAAUGACUUCGGUCCAAAGAUUUAUCGCCGAGGGAUGAGCCCGCGUAAGAUUAGCUUGUUGGUGGGGUAAUGGCCUACCAAGGCGACGAUCUUUAGCUGGUCUGAGAGGAUGAUCAGCCACACUGGGACUGAGACACGGCCCAGACUCCUACGGGAGGCAGCAGUGGGGAAUAUUGGACAAUGGGCGAAAGCCUGAUCCAGCAAUGCCGCGUGAGUGAUGAAGGCCUUAGGGUUGUAAAGCUCUUUUACCAGGGAUGAUAAUGACAGUACCUGGAGAAUAAGCUCCGGCUAACUCCGUGCCAGCAGCCGCGGUAAAGUAGUCGUG
rnacentral:rRNA from 1 species